rnacentral:rRNA from 1 species
AACGCGAAGAACCUUACCUGGCCUUGACAUGUCCGGAAUCCUGCAGAGAUGCGGGAGUGCCUUCGGGAAUCGGAACACAGGUGCUGCAUGGCUGUCGUCAGCUCGUGUCGUGAGAUGUUGGGCUAAGUCCCGCAACGAGCGCAACCCUUGUCCUUAGUUGCCAGCGAGUAAAGUCGGGAACUCUAAGGAGACUGCCGGUGACAAACCGGAGGAGGGUGGGGAUGGCGUCAAGUCAUCAUGGCCCUUACGGCCAGGGCUACACACGUACUACAAUGGUCGGUACAGAGGGUUGCGAUACCGCGAGGUGGAGCUAAUCCCAGAAAGCCGAUCCCAGUCCGGAUUGGAGUCUGCAACUCGGCUCCAUGAAGUCGGAAUCGCUAGUAAUCGCAGAUCAGCUAUGCUGCGGUGAAUACGUUCCCGGGCCUUGUACACACCG